rnacentral:rRNA from 1 species
GAUGCUGACGAGUGGCGAACGGGUGAGUAAUACAUCGGAACGUGCCCGAUCGUGGGGGAUAACGAAGCGAAAGCUUUGCUAAUACCGCAUACGAUCUACGGAUGAAAGCAGGGGACCGCAAGGCCUUGCGCGAACGGAGCGGCCGAUGGCAGAUUAGGUAGUUGGUGGGAUAAAAGCUUACCAAGCCGACGAUCUGUAGCUGGUCUGAGAGGACGACCAGCCACACUGGGACUGAGACACGGCCCAGACUCCUACGGGAGGCAGCAGUGGGGAAUUUUGGACAAUGGGCGCAAGCCUGAUCCAGCCAUGCCGCGUGCAGGAUGAAGGCCUUCGGGUUGUAAACUGCUUUUGUACGGAACGAAAAGACUCUGGUUAAUACCUGGGGUCCAUGACGGUACCGUAAGAAUAAGCACCGGCUAACUACGUGCCAGCAGCCGCGGUAAUACGUAGGGUGCAAGCGUUAAUCGGAAUUACUGGGCGUAAAGCGUGCGCAGGCGGUUAUAUAAGACAGAUGUGAAAUCCCCGGGCUCAACCUGGGAACUGCAUUUGUGACUGUAUGGCUAGAGUACGGCAGAGGGGGAUGGAAUUCCGCGUGUAGCAGUGAAAUGCGUAGAUAUGCGGAGGAACACCGAUGGCGAAGGCAAUCCCCUGGGCCUGU